AACAGGAUUAGAUACCCUGGUAGUCCACGCCGUAAACGAUGUCGACUUGGAGGUUGUGCCCUUGAGGCGUGGCUUCCGGAGCUAACGCGUUAAGUCGACCGCCUGGGGAGUACGGCCGCAAGGUUAAAACUCAAAUGAAUUGACGGGGGCCCGCACAAGCGGUGGAGCAUGUGGUUUAAUUCGAUGCAACGCGAAGAACCUUACCUGGUCUUGACAUCCACAGAACUUUCCAGAGAUGGAUUGGUGCCUUCGGGAACUGUGAGACAGGUGCUGCAUGGCUGUCGUCAGCUCGUGUUGUGAAAUGUUGGGUUAAGUCCCGCAACGAGCGCAACCCUUAUCCUUUGUUGCCAGCGGUCCGGCCGGGAACUCAAAGAAGACUGCCAGUGAUAAACUGGAGGAAGGUGGGGAUGACGUCAAGUCAUCAUGGCCCUUACGACCAGGGCUACACACGUGCUACAAUGGCGCAUACAAAGAGAAGCGACCUCGCGAGAGCAAGCGGACCUCAUAAAGUGCGUCGUAGUCCGGAUUGGAGUCUGCAACUCGACUCCAUGAAGUCGGAAUCGCUAGUAAUCGUGGAUCAGAAUGCCACGGUGAAUACGUUCCCGGGCCUUGUACACACCGCCCGUCACACCAUGGGAGUGGGUUGCAAAAGAAGUAGGUAGCUUAACCUUCGGGAGGGCGCUUACCACUUUGUGAUUCAUGACUGGGGUGAAGUCGUAACAAGGUAACC
rnacentral:rRNA from 1 species